rnacentral:rRNA from 1 species
ACUGCUCAGUAACACGUCGAUAAUCUGCCUUUGAGUCUGAGAUAACCUUGGGAAACUGAGGCUAAUAUUAGAUAGGGAAAAACAACUGGAAUGUGUUUUUCCCUAAAGCUUCGGCGCUCAAAGAUGAGUCGGCGGCCCAUCAGGUUGUUGGUGAGGUAACUGCUCACCAAGCCUACGACGGGUAAGGGCCUUGAGAGAGGUUGCCCUGAGAGGGACACUUAGAUACUGGUCCCAGCCCUACGGGGUGCAGCAGCUAGGAAAACUUUACAAUGCACGCAAGUGUGAUAAGGGGAUUCUGAGUGCUCAAGCACUGCUUGGGCUUUUGCCAAGAGUAAAGAUCUUGGCGAAUAAGCGGUGGGCAAGACUGGUGCCAGCCGCCGCGGUAACACCAGCGCCGCAAGUGGGAACCGUUAUUAUUGGGUCUAAAGCAUCCGUAGCCUGUCUAGUAAAUUUUCUGUGAAAUCGGCCAGCUUAACUGGUCGGCGUGCAGGAAACACUGCUAGACUAGAGACCAGGAGAGGUUAAAGGUAUUUUGUGGGGAGCGGUAAAAUGCUAUAAUCCACAAAGGACCACCGAUGGCGAAGGCAUUUGACCAGAAUGGAUCUGAUGGUGAGGGAUGAAAGCCAGGGGAGCGAUCCGGAUUAGAUAUCGACAAAUUUCUGCGAAAUUUUUCGGAAUUAGUCUCGCACGAUCGUAGAUAAAAAUUACUGUGUGAGAACCGAAUAGAAAAUGAAAUUUGCUCGACUAAUUACCCGAGUAGUCCUGGCUGUAAACGCUGCGUGCUAGAUGUUGCACAAUCCCCGAGAUUGUGCAGUGUCGAAACGAAAGGUGCUAAGCACGCCACCUGGGGAGUACGGUCGCAAGGCUGAAACUUAAAGGAAUUGGCGGGGGAGCAC